UAUUGAGCACACAGCCUAUUGCACUACCAAACUAUAGUGUCUCCCCAAAAGAUUGUUAUAAACGGACACGUACAAUUGCGACUCUGGUAUCCCGAUAAUGUGCAACGGUAGACUUGAGGGAAUAUUCGUCUUACAUAGAUCCUCACGAUUUCAUGUGUUUACAUCUGUGUAUGCAUUUAGAAAAUGGAUAAACGGAGCCAUUUACCUCCACUUCAAAAAAGAUCCGCCAGUGAUGGAAYCGAUGCUAUCGAUGGCAUCGAUGGAUGGCUCGAUUUGCUUCCAGUGGCUACUUGUUUUGGCCAUUAGCAUUUAUUUGGUGGGCUGACCCU